rnacentral:rRNA from 1 species
CCUACGGGGGGCAGCAGUAGGGAAUCUUCGGCAAUGGACGAAAGUCUGACCAAGCAACGCCGCGUGAGUGAAGAAGAUUUUCGGAUCGUAAAACUCUGUUGGUAGAGAAGAACGUUGGUGAGAGAGGAAAGCGCAGCAAGUGCCGGUAACUACCAAGAAAGGGACGGCUACCUACUUGCCGGAAGCCGCGGUAAUCAGUAGGUCCCGAGCGCUGUCCGGAUUUAUUGGGGGUAAAGCGGGCGCAGGGGGUUUAUUAAGUCUGGUGUAAAAGGCAGUGGUUCAACCGUUGUAUGCAUUGGAAACUGGUAGACUUGAGUGCAGGAGAGGGGAGUGGAAUUCCAUGUGUAGCGGUGAAAUGCGUAGAUAUAUGGAGGAACACCGGUGGCGAAAGCGGCUCUCUGGCCUGUAACUGACACUGAGGCUCGAAAGCGUGGGGAGCAAACAGGAUUAGAUACCCGAGUAGUC